rnacentral:rRNA from 1 species
CCCUUAGAUGUUCUGGGCUGCACGCGCGCUACACUGAAGCGUUCAACGAGUAUUCACCUUGCCCGGGAGGGUUGGGUAAUCUUUUGAAAACGCUUCGUGAUGGGGAUAGAUUAUUGCAAUUAUUAAUCUUCAACGAGGAAUGCCUAGUAAGCGCGAAUCAUCAGUUCGCGUUGAUUACGUCCCUGCCCUUUGUACACACCGCCCGUCGCUCCUACCGAUUGAAUGGUCCGGUGAAAAUUUCGGACAGUGACGAUGCUGGCGGUCCGCCGCCGGCGCUGUCGCUGGAAGAUCUUUAAACCUUAUCAUUUAGAGGAAGGAGAAGUCGUAACA